CCUACGGGUGGCUGCAGUGGGGAAUAUUGGACAAUGGGCGAAAGCCUGAUCCAGCCAUGCCGCGUGUGUGAAGAAGGCCUUCGGGUUGUAAAGCACUUUCAGUGGGGAAGAAAGCCUUGGGGCUAAUACCCUCGAGGAAGGACAUCACCCACAGAAGAAGCACCGGCUAACUCCGUGCCAGCAGCCGCGGUAAUACGGAGGGUGCGAGCGUUAAUCGGAAUUACUGGGCGUAAAGCGCGCGUAGGCGGUCUGAUAAGCCGGUUGUGAAAGCCCCGGGCUCAACCUGGGAACGGCAUCCGGAACUGUCAGGCUGGAGUGCAGGAGAGGAAGGUAGAAUUCCCGGUGUAGCGGUGAAAUGCGUAGAGAUCGGGAGGAAUACCAGUGGCGAAGGCGGCCUUCUGGACUGACACUGACGCUGAGGUGCGAAAGCGUGGGUAGCAAACAGGAUUAGAUACCCGGGUAGUC
rnacentral:rRNA from 1 species